ensembl:piRNA 21ur-14892 ncRNA
UGAAUUCACUCUCAACAAUGA